UUCAACUCUCUUGCCUCCUCUGUGGACAGGAAAAUGAAACUAUCAGUCACCUAUUCUUUAAUUGCAAAUAUAUCAGAUAACUACUACAAACCGUUUCUGAAUUUCUUAACUAGGACUUGUGGAAAAUUACAAACUCACAAGCCCCUACACUCAUUAACCCAGAUAUUAGAAUAGGGGAUAUAAUUAAAUCUUGGAAAAAAUUGACAUCAAUCUCCCUCAUCUGGUCUGAAAGGAACAAAAGGUUGUGUUGGCAAAAUCUUAGACCUACAGAAGUGGUAUUUCUGGAAAGCAUUAAGGACUCCAGUCUCUCUUUCAGAGCUGAAAUCUUUAAAAAAUACUGUGGUUCACAAAUGGAGAGAACCAUUAUGAAGGUUUGGGAGACAAACCUCCUGAGGCUUAGCUACUAGUUAAUUGAUCACUAGGAAUGCAAGUCAAAUAGGACUAUAGGAGUAGUUUGAUGGAGUGGGCAACCACUGCAUCCACACUGUUGAUAUGUUGCUUAAAAACAGCAAUAAUAUUAAAGGUCUGCAAAAAUCCAUUAAAUUUUUACUUAUUGUCAUAAGAAUCAAAUCAAUGAAAUGACUAUAAAAAUAAAUUUAUAAGUUAUAUUUCAUAUACAAUUUACUCAAUAGAAGAAGUUGAUUUAUGGAUAUGCAAAGUUGAUAUUGGUUUUACACAAAAUUCUUAAUAUUUAAGACAAAUAUUUCGAGAAGUACUAGCUAUGAUAUAUUAUAUGACAGAAUUAUUACUUGAAGAUUGACAUAGCUAGGCUAAAUUAUUUACAAAUGUGUUAUUGAACUUUCACAAAGAACAUUUUGCAUUAAAUUUAAUUUAAAUAUAAUUAAGUCACUCUGAUGUACAGAAGAAAUAGUAGCUUUGUUACAUAUUAUAUAUUAUCUUGUUUACUGCUAUUUUUUUGGUUAAUUAUGUAAUAUGGCAAAUUAUAUUGUCAGGAAAAUAAGAUGAUUAAUUUGAAUAAUUUUUUAUAAAUUAUUAUAUAUUUACAUGACAACUCAAUCGAAGUCAUGAUAUUAUAAUCCUAAACUCAGCAAACUUAACAGUUAAUUAGGCGAGUUCAUGUAAUAUACCAUACACGAAUACAUUUUCUAAAUUAAGAUUUCAUCAUGCAAGACUCCCUUUCUAAUUUUUGAAAAUCAGAAAAGGUCUUUUUUCCCAAUCGCUCAAAUUUGUGGCUAAUACAGAUGACUAGUUAAUAGAUGCGAUGGUCAGUCUAAAUACAUUAAUUUCAAGAUUCUUAGAACUUAAAAUGAUGUGUUGCUAAAAUACAAGAUGACUAUUAAAAGUCUUCUAAAAUUCAAAAUUUUUUUAAAUAAUCACUGACGAUUCAAAUAAAUUAAUCAACGCUUAAGCUAGAAAAAAAUUAGUAUUAGAAACAUAUAUAGUUAAAAUCAGAAAAUAUAGAAUGGCCAAAAUUACUGAUGAAACUACUUGACAGACAUAGAAAUUAUAGAAAAAUAGUGAAAAUGCCUAUGAAAGAUAGAAUACUUACCAAGGAGGUUAUAAUAACCAUUGCCGCUUAAUUUUGUUACAAUGGAUGGGGAAGAUCCUACAAAGAAUAAAUUGAUGAAUCAGGGAUGUUUUGACUAGCUGACGGACAUUUUGCAUUAAAUUUAAUUUAAAUAUAAUUAAGUAACUAUGAUGUACAGAAGAAAUAUUAGCUUUGUUACAAAGAAAAUAACAAAAAGAUUCAACUUGGAGAUUGACAAAUUAGGGACCCUCAAAUCAAUCGUUUUUCUUCAAAUUUUGAUUCAAUUAACUAACUAGUGAGGUGAAGCAGCACAAUUUCUUGGUUUCAAUUUUCUUGGUUUCAAUUUUCAAUUUCUUGGUUACAUCGUAUGGUUUUAGAGUUAUUUUUGGUAGACAUAAGAUUUAUAGUGACCUUUUAUUUCGCAAGAUUUUUUGCAGGAUAAUCAUGCUACUCGACCCAUAACUCAGACUUCAAAGGAACAACGCACAGGUAUAUUUUUUAGAUGAACUGAUUAUGUAAGAAAGCCCCAUCCAGAGAUCACAUUAAUUAUUGACUUUUUAACGUGCUUUCGGGGGGGGGAAGAAGGGGGAAAUGGUUCCCCCAAUGCAAUCUAAACAUAAUGGGUAUUUCCAGGAAUAAAGCUUCAGAGAUUAGGUCGAAAAUACACCUGGGCGUAAACAAUGACUGAACAAAAUGUAUAUGACUAGGGAUUCCAAAAUAAUUUUUUGGUUUCACGAGAGGACGAUUGACAAAAGAUUAGGUAUGAUACCUGAUUUUAAUUAACCUGAACUUGCUGUAGGAAAUGAUAAACGCCCACGGUAGCAAAGUGCUUUGAUUUGCAGAGGGACAGUUGUCGGAAGGGAAUAGCAAGAUAAAUGGCGAUUCGUCGGUCCGGCGGUGGGUAACCAAUAAGAAUGAUGUUUGAAUUAUGGGUGGAACGAGUAAUUACGAGGUGGAAGAACGAUGUCAUCGUACGGGAUGAACAGUUCGCGGUAAGGGUGAACGAAUUCAACAACAGGGCAUGGCGCACGUCUCAUCGUGCAUCGAGUGGGAGGAAGAAGAAUGAACGGUCGAGAAUUCUUGCUCAGAUGGACGGCCGGAUCGGAGGUCCGCAAAAGGGACCGUUCGAACAACCGGCCGUCCCAAAAACGUUCCCUAUAUAUAUAUAUAUAUUUGCAUAUUAAAUAUAUCUUCUAUCUGUAUUCAAAAUUAUUAAUCAGAUUCGAAUUUUAACG
rnacentral:lncRNA from 1 species